rnacentral:rRNA from 1 species
UACGGGAGGCAGCAGUGGGGAAUAUUGCACAAUGGGCGCAAGCCUGAUGCAGCCAUGCCGCGUGUAUGAAAAAGGCCUUCGGGUUGUAAAGUACUUUCAGUCGUGAGGAAGGUGUUAAGGUUAAUAACCUUAGCAAUUGACGUUAGCGACAGAAGAAGCACCGGCUAACUCCGUGCCAGCAGCCGCGGUAAUACGGAGGGUGCGAGCGUUAAUCGGAAUUACUGGGCGUAAAGGGCACGCAGGCGGUUAAUUAAGUUGGAUGUGAAAUCCCCGGGCUUAACCUGGGAAUGGCAUUCAAGACUGGUUAGCUAGAGUCUUGUAGAGGGGGUAGAAUUCCAUGUGUAGCGGUGAAAUGCGUAGAGAUGUGGAGGAAUGCCGGUGGCGAAGGCGGCCCCUGGACAAAGGCUGACGCUCAUGUGCGAAAGCGUGGGGAGCAAAC